GACGAACGCUGGCGGCGUGCUUAACACAUGCAAGUUGAACGGUAUGACAUGGAAGCUUGCUGAAGUGUCAUAUAGUAGCGGACGGGUGAGUAAUGCAUGAGAAGCUGCCAUUGGGAGGGGGACAACAGUUGGAAACGGCUGCUAAUACCCCGUAUGCCGGAAGGUGAAAGGGAGUAAUCCGCCCGAUGAGGUGCUCAUGUCCUAUCAGCUGGUUGGUGGGGUAACGGCCUACCAAGGCGACGACGGGUAGCCGGCCUGAGAGGGUGAACGGCCACACUGGAACUGAGAUACGGUCCAGACUCCUACGGGAGGCAGCAGUGGGGAAUAUUGGGCAAUGGGGGCAACCCUGACCCAGCGACGCCGCGUGGGGGAAGACGGCCUCGGUUGUAA
rnacentral:rRNA from 1 species